AGUGAACGCUGGCGGUAGGCCUAACACAUGCAAGCCGAACGGCAGCACAGUAAGAGCUUGCUCUUACGGGUGGCGAGUGGCGGACGGGUGAGGAAUACAUCGGAAUCUACUUUUUCGUGGGGGAUAACGUAGGGAAACUUCCGCUAAUACCGCAUACGACCUACGGGUGAAAGCAGGGGAUCUUCGGACCUUGCGCGAUUGAUUGAGCCGAGGUCGGAUUAGCUAGUUGGCGGGGUAAAGGCCCACCAAGGCGACGAUCCGUAGCUGGUCUGAGAGGAUGAUCAGCCACACUGGAACUGAGACACGGUCCAGACUCCUACGGGAGGCAGCAGUGGGGAAUAUUGGACAAUGGGCGAAAGCCUGAUCCAGCCAUACCGCGUGGGUGAAGAAGGCCUUCGGGUUGUAAAGCCCUUUUGUUGGGAAAGAAAAGCAGCAGGUUAAUACCCCGCUGUUCUGACGGUACCCAAAGAAUAAGCACCGGCUAACUUCGUG
rnacentral:rRNA from 1 species